GAUGAACGCUGGCGGCGUGCCUAAUACAUGCAAGUCGAGCGAAUGGAUUAAGAGCUUGCUCUUAUGAAGUUAGCGGCGGACGGGUGAGUAACACGUGGGUAACCUGCCCAUAAGACUGGGAUAACUCCGGGAAACCGGGGCUAAUACCGGAUAAUAUUUUGAACUGCAUGGUUCAAAAUUGAAAGGCGGCUUCGGCUGUCACUUAUGGAUGGACCCGCGUCGCAUUAGCUAGUUGGUGAGGUAACGGCUCACCAAGGCAACGAUGCGUAGCCGACCUGGGAGGGUGAUCGGCCACACUGGGACUGAGACACGGCCCAGACUCCUACGGGAGGCAGCAGUAGGGAAUCUUCCGCAAUGGACGAAAGUCUGACGGAGCAACGCCGCGUGAGUGAUGAAGGCUUUCGGGUCGUAAAACUCUGUUGUUAGGGAAGAACAAGUACAGUAGUAACUGGCUGUACCUUGACGGUACCUUAUUAGAAAGCCACGGCUAACUACGUGCCAGCAGCCGCCGUAA
rnacentral:rRNA from 1 species